rnacentral:lncRNA from 1 species
AAUAACAUUUAAGGCCAUGCAUGGUGAGGUCUUGUUAGCUGUUCUCUUAUAUCAUUCGAGCAUAAAGAGCUGGCCUGCCAGGGUCAGUCAGAAAUCCUAUUUUUCACUUUGGUCAUUAGAUAGUGUAAUUGCAGCCAAGAUUACCUCUUGAAAGGGAACUGGGCAGGUUUCAUGUGAGGAUAUAGGGCUGAAUGCUAAGGUUUAAAAUUUUGUUUCUGAAACUGAAAAUAGAACACAAAGGCAUUUGAGUUUAUAGCUUUUCACUUGGGUAAAAUUUUUCUUUUUAAAUUUCAUUAUGGAGGCUUUGGAUCCCCUGUUAAGAGAUAAGCAUUUUUUUAAACAACCAUUUAACUGAUUAUUUUUAUUAUUGUAUUUUAAAAUUCCUGGAGGUAAAUAUUCAUUUGACAUGCCUCUCAGCGUUAGGAAAGAGAUAUUAAAAUGCAGCGAAUAAACAGCCAACAGGACAGCUGUUAUUGCAAAAAGAACCCUGGGGUCCUCCAGGUACACAUUUUAUUUGCUGUAGUAGAAAAAUUCCCGUUCCUUUUCCUAGCUAAUUGCUUGCAUUAGUGCCUCCUGGUUCUUCCCUUGAAUUUACUAGAAAUGGAAAUUAAGAAACGAGUCCAGUCAUUGAUCAUUGGCCUGUCAACUUUGUGGACACUCACCCAGGUGAAUGAAAAACAUCUUGAUAAGAACAACAAAGUCAACAGCACCAAAGGCGGUGCUUUUAAAGCAGUUGUUCUUGUGAUGGUCUUUAAGCAGCUGAGACCAGUAGCCCUGUCGUCUAAUUGUCGCAUACUUUGUAAAUAAAACGAUUGCAUUCCCA